rnacentral:rRNA from 1 species
GACAGAGGCUGCAAGCGUUAUCCGGAAUGAUUGGGCGUAAAGCGUCUGUAGGUGGCUUUUUAAGUCCGCCGUCAAAUCCCAGGGCUCAACCCUGGACAGGCGGUGGAAACUACCAAGCUGGAGUACGGUAGGGGCAGAGGGAAUUUCCGGUGGAGCGGUGAAAUGCGCAGAUAUCGGGAAGAACACCCGUGGCGAAGGCGGCUCUCUGGGACGGUACUGACGCUGAGACGGCGGAAAAGCGUGGGGAGCGAACAGG